rnacentral:rRNA from 1 species
CCUGGCUCACGAUGAACGCUAGCGACAGGCUUAACACAUGCAAGUCGAGGGGCAGCGGGGGUAGCAAUACCCGCCGGCGACCGGCGCACGGGUGAGUAACGCGUAUGCAACUUACCUAUCAGAGGGGGAUAACCCGGCGAAAGUCGGACUAAUACCGCAUGAAGCAGGGGUCCCGCAUGGGGAUAUUUGCUAAAGAUUCAUCGCUGAUAGAUAGGCAUGCGUUCCAUUAGGCAGUUGGCGGGGUAACGGCCCACCAAACCGACGAUGGAUAGGGGUUCUGAGAGGAAGGUCCCCCACAUUGGUACUGAGACACGGACCAAACUCCUACGGGAGGCAGCAGUGAGGAAUAUUGGUCAAUGGGCGUAAGCCUGAACCAGCCAAGUCGCGUGAGGGAUGAAGGUUCUAUGGAUCGUAAACCUCUUUUAUAAGGGAAUAAAGUGCGGGACGUGUCCCGUUUUGUAUGUACCUUAUGAAUAAGGAUCGGCUAACUCCGUGCCAGCAGCCGCGGUAAUACGGAGGAUCCGAGCGUUAUCCGGAUUUAUUGGGUUUAAAGGGUGCGUAGGCGGCCUUUUAAGUCAGCGGUGAAAGUCUGUGGCUCAACCAUAGAAUUGCCGUUGAAACUGGGGGGCUUGAGUAUGUUUGAGGCAGGCGGAAUGCGUGGUGUAGCGGUGAAAUGCAUAGAUAUCACGCAGAACCCCGAUUGCGAAGGCAGCCUGCCAAGCCAUUACUGACGCUGAUGCACGAAAGCGUGGGGAUCAAACAGGAUUAGAUACCCUGGUAGUCCACGCAGUAAACGAUGAUCACUAGCUGUUUGCGAUACACUGUAAGCGGCACAGCGAAAGCGUUAAGUGAUCCACCUGGGGAGUACGCCGGCAACGGUGAAACUCAAAGGAAUUGACGGGGGCCCGCACAAGCGGAGGAACAUGUGGUUUAAUUCGAUGAUACGCGAGGAACCUUACCCGGGUUUGAACGCAUUCGGACCGAGGUGGAAACACCUUUUCUAGCAAUAGCCGUUUGCGAGGUGCUGCAUGGUUGUCGUCAGCUCGUGCCGUGAGGUGUCGGCUUAAGUGCCAUAACGAGCGCAACCCUUGCCACUAGUUACUAACAGGUAAAGCUGAGGACUCUGGUGGGACUGCCAGCGUAAGCUGCGAGGAAGGCGGGGAUGACGUCAAAUCAGCACGGCCCUUACAUCCGGGGCGACACACGUGUUACAAUGGCGUGGACAAAGGGAGGCCACCUGGCGACAGGGAGCGAAUCCCCAAACCACGUCUCAGUUCGGAUCGGAGUCUGCAACCCGACUCCGUGAAGCUGGAUUCGCUAGUAAUCGCGCAUCAGCCAUGGCGCGGUGAAUACGUUCCCGGGCCUUGUACACAC